rnacentral:rRNA from 1 species
CCGCAAUGUGAGAAAUCGCGACGGGGGGAUCCCAAGUGCCAUUCUUAACGGGAUGGCUUUUCAUUAGUGUAAAGAGCUUUUGGAAUAAGAGCUGGGCAAGACCGGUGCCAGCCGCCGCGGUAACACCGGCAGCUCUAGUGGUAACAAUUUUUAUUGGGCCUAAAGCGUCCGUAGCCGGUUUAAUAAGUCUCUGGUGAAAUCCUGUAGCUUAACUGUGGGAAUUGCUGGAGAUACUAUUAGACUUGAGACCGGGAGAGGUUAGAGGUACUCCCAGGGUAGAGGUGAAAUUCUGUAAUCCUGGGAGGACCGCCUGUUGCGAAGGCGUCUAACUGGAACGGUUCUGACGGUGAGGGACGAAAGUUAGGGGCGCGAACCGGAUUAGAUACCCGGGUAGUCCUAACUGUAAACGAUGCGGACUUGGUGUUGGGGUGGCUUUGAGCUGCUCCAGUGCCGAAGGGAAGCUGUUAAGUCCGCCGCCUGGGAAGUACGGUCGCAAGACUGAAACUUAA